rnacentral:rRNA from 1 species
UACGAAGGGGGCUAGCGUUGCUCGGAAUUACUGGGCGUAAAGCGCACGUAGGCGGAUUGUUAAGUCGGGGGUGAAAUCCCGGAGCUCAACUCCGGAACUGCCUUCGAUACUGACGAUCUUGAGUCCGGGAGAGGUGAGUGGAACUGCGAGUGUAGAGGUGAAAUUCGUAGAUAUUCGCAAGAACACCAGUGGCGAAGGCGGCUCACUGGCCCGAUACUGACGCUGAGGCACGAAAGCGUGGGGAGCAAACGGG